CCCCUUGCAUCCCACACUGCGCUGCCUGGUUUCUGAAGGUGUGAUUCUCUGCCUUCACUAUCAUCUUCUCUCUGUGGACCCCAAUUUUGUUCACCUGUAAUCCUCUUGUUGCCCCUUCUCCCCAUAGCCCUGCCCAUCUCCUCUGGCUCACUCUCACCCUGCACUCUUGAUGCUUGAAUCCAAACAUCGGGAGCAAACCAUGAGAUAGCAACGUGCGGGCACUGGGAUCUCUGAUGAGCUGAGGAUCAAAGAAGCAGAAGACGGCUGGAUUUGCAGGAGCUGUAUGGUCCCAAGACAGGAAGAACUCCCUGUUCUUUUGAGGAGAAAACCAAAUGAGGAACUAACAUACUCUCUGUCAUUCUGAGAUUUUGCUUGUAAUGUUCUCAAAUCUACAAAGGUUUCGAGAAGAAAUGUACAUGUGGCUAGCCCACCCCAGACAAGAAGGACUUGAAGAAAAUGUGAUGUUCCCUAUAUAGUUUCCAGUAAAUGAGAGUUGCUCAUCAUUUGAUCCUUCCAAACAUUUAUUUCUCUGUGCUGUGUCUUAGCCUGCAGCAGGCUCCAGUCUGGACUGUAAUUUUGGUUCUUAUACACCCAUCCAACAGCUUUGUUGUGGUAUUCCUUCUUAGAGAUCAUCCCACAUGGUACCAGAGUUUGCCACAGAGACAGGACUAAGUUUGAGACCAGUAUUCAGACUUUGGAUAUCAUCCGUAAGGAGCAGAGGAAGGAAACCAGGUGAUUUAUAAGAGUGUUUCUGGAGUUUUGUGUGCACCUGAGCAUGACACCAGUGGGCAAAUGAGCUCAUACCACACACUGACUUUUUAUGCCACAGAAGACAAAGAAAGCUCCAAAAAGGCUUCAGGAUCCCAAAGCACUCCAUGAACCACAUACGGUAGUGACUUCUGCCUCUGCUGAAAUAUGGACAACAGCAUGAAACAUGCCAACUCUUCUAAGUUCAAGAAACGGCACCGCUGCAAAGCAUCUUGGGACAAAGGCAGAGACAGAUAAAGAAGAGAACAUUGCCUCAUCCUGCAGGGUGUGCAAGGAAGGGAAGCCAGCAAUGAGCCUCUCCUGCUUCACUUUCCAGUCACUGACAACACUCGUGCUUUGCAAAGAAGUCUUAACAACUCACUGACUUUGUAAUUAAAUAGACUUUAAGCUCAAAGAUCCCACGGUACCUUACGGUACCUUUGUAUCAAUCCCUGUGCCAGUACAUGCAGUCUGGACCCAGCACACCUAAUUCUGUCGCUACUGGGGUUUUUAUGCCCUCCUGUCACAUUGAAAAUGAACAUAUAAAGUCGCAGAUCG
ensembl:lncRNA